rnacentral:rRNA from 1 species
AGUGAAUAGAUACCCAGGUAGUCCACGCCGUAAACGAUGAUAACUAGCUGUCCGGGCUCAUGGAGUUUGGGUGGCGCAGCUAACGCAUUAAGUUAUCCGCCUGGGGAGUACGGUCGCAAGAUUAAAACUCAAAGGAAUUGACGGGGGCGUGCACAAGCGGUGGAGCAUGUGGUUUAAUUUACGAAGCAACGCGCAGAACCUUACCCAGCUUUUGUACAUCCCGACUCGCGAUUACCUAGAGAUGGUUUUCUUUCAGUUCGGUCUGGAUCGGUGACAGGUGCUGCAUGGCUGUCGUCAGCUCGUGUCGUGAGAUGUUGGGUUUAAGUCCCGCAACGAGCGCAACCCUCGUCCUUAGUUGCCAUCAUUAAGUUGGGCACUCUAAGGAAACCUGCCGGUGAUAAGCCGGAGGAAGGUGGGGAUGACGUCAAGUCCUCAUGGCCCUUACAAGCUGGGCUACACACGUGCUACAAUGGCGAUGACAGUGGGCAGCGAUCUCGCAAGGG